rnacentral:lncRNA from 1 species
UCCUGUUUGGGGAUUGGAGAGGAAGUGCGUCUGGAUGACUACUAAGAUGAGGAGGCUGAGGCCUAGUGCUCCUAGAGGGCUUGGUCAAGAGCAGGAGGUGGAGGUGGUGGAAGGCUGUUCCCCUGCGCAUUCUAGCCUGUGAGAAGAAGAAAUGUGUGAAAAUUCUGGAGCUUUCCUCUCCCAGGGAUAACUGGAGGCCUUGAGGACUGAAAGAGAAAGUGUCAGUUUUUUGUCCUUGUGAUAGUUUGCUGAGAAUGAUGGUCUCCAGCUUCAUCCAUGUCCCUACAAGGGACAUGAACUCAUCAUUUUUUAUGGCUGCAUAGUAUUCCAUGGUGUAUAUGUGUCACAUUUUCUUAAUCCAGUCUAUCAUUGUUGGACAUUUGGGUUAGUUCCAAGUCUUUGCUAUUGUGAAUAGUGCCGCAAUAAACAUGUACCCUAAAACUUAAAGUAUAAUAAAAAGAAAAAAAACAAAUAAA